rnacentral:lncRNA from 1 species
UUUUAGACACGUGGCUUGUGAUAUCCCACUAAUUAGCUAUUUUAAACAUGUGACAAGUGGUAUGACACUGUAUUGAUGUAUGUGAAAUGUAUAGAGUCUUUCAGUUAUCAGAUAAUGUCAAGGAGUUGACAGCAUGGUGUCCGAUUUAAAGUGCGAACCUGUGUACGAGUAACAACAGUAUUCAAAACCAAAACCUAUUUAAACCAACCAAA